UACGUAGGGUGCAGGCGUUAAUCGGAAUUACUGGGCGUAAAGCGUGCGCAGGCGGCUCCUUAAGUCAGAUGUGAAAUCCCCGGGCUUAACCUGGGAAUGGCGUUUGGGACUGGAAGUCUGGAGUGCGGCAGAGGAGACUGGAAUUCCUGGUGGUAGCAGUGAAAUGCGUAGAUAUCAGGAGGAACACCGAUGGCGAAGGCAGGUCUCUGGGCUGACACUGACGCUCAUGCACGAAAGCGUGGGGAGCAAACAGG
rnacentral:rRNA from 1 species